rnacentral:rRNA from 1 species
UGGUGACAAUAGCGUUUUGGACCCACCUGACCCCAUGCCGAACUCAGUAGUGAAACGAAACAGCGCCGAUGAUAGUGUAGCAGCUGC